AUUAAUGUGCCUGAUAAAAGGGUCACAGUGAUAUUGUGAAUAUGUAUAUUUACCGUUAAUU
rnacentral:tRNA from 1 species